CUGUGAUGCUGGGCUCAGGCAGAGGCGGGUACACCUCGUCACUCACACCAUCCAUUCUUCCCAUGGAAUUCGAUGAAUUGACAUUUUAUCCAAGGCCCCUUGGAUCGUGACCAACUAUGACUGAAGCGAGAUUACAUGAAAAUCAGAGAAAGACAACGAUGGAUAGGAUUGACUACAAUUAACACGUGACUACAAUUAACACGUGACAAUAAGUGCAGGAGUGCCAGGUUCAUGGCAUGUGGUUUUUGAAAUUUGAAGAAAUUGUGGGUGACACAGGAGUAGUCAGAUUGCAAAACUCAUGCAGUAAUCUAAUGGAUUAGGAUAGUAAACAAAGAAACGCCAGUUUGGUUUGACAAGGGUACGAAGCGUGUAAAAUUUCCAUUUCCGGUGGAAACAGACUAUUUUAAUUUCUUAUCUCGGAUUUAUGUAGGCUAUGUGUGUUGUCUAAUGCAUUUCAGCUUCAAACAUAAUAGAAUAAUGUAUAAACAGAUUAUAUCUAUGACACAA